GAGUUUGAUCUUGGCUCAGGAUGAACGCUAGCGGCAGGCUUAACACAUGCAAGUCGAGGGGCAGCACGUCUUCGGAUGGUGGCGACCGGCGCACGGGUGAGUAACGCGUAUGCAAUCUACCUUUUACAGGGGCAUAGCCCGGGGAAACUCGGAUUAAUAUCCUAUGGUACCAUGAUAUAGCAUUAUAUUUUGGUUAAAGCUUUGGCGGUAAAGAUGAGCAUGCGUCCUAUUAGCUUGAUGGUAAGGUAACGGCUUACCAUGGCGAUGAUAGGUAGGGGUCCUGAGAGGGAGACCCCCCACACUGGUACUGAGACACGGACCAGACUCCUACCGGGAGGCAGCAGUGAGGAAUAUUGGACAAUGGCGAGAGCCUGAUCCAGCCAUGCCGCGUGCAGGAAGACGGCCCUAUGGGUUGUAAACUGCUUUUAUACGGGAAGAAACACUCCCUCGUGAGGGAGCUUGACGGUACCGUAUGAAUAAGGAUCGGCUAACUCCGUGCCAGCAGCCG
rnacentral:rRNA from 1 species